UCUCCAGACUCCUACGGGAGGCAGCAGUGGGGAAUCUUCCGCAAUGGGCGAAAGCCUGACGGAGCAACGCCGCGUGAUCGAAUGAAGGCCUUCGGGUUGUAAAGAUCUGUUGACAGGGACGAAUAAGCCAUGCGAAUAGUUUGGUGUAUGACGGUACCUGUUUAGAAAGCUCCGGCUAACUACGUGCCAGCAGCCGCGGUAAUACGUAGGGAGCAAGCGUUGUCCGGAUUUACUGGGUGUAAAGGGCGUGCAGCCGGGAGUGCAAGUCAGAUGUGAAAUCCCGCGGCUCAACCGCGGAACUGCAUUUGAAACUGUGCUUCUUGAGUGCUGGAGAGGCAGACGGAAUUCCUAGUGUAGCGGUGAAAUGCGUAGAUAUUAGGAGGAACACCAGUGGCGAAGGCGGUCUGCUGGACAGUAACUGACGGUGAGGCGCGAAAGCGUGGGGAGCAAACAGGAUUAGAUACCCGCGUAU
rnacentral:rRNA from 1 species